AUGCAGGGAAUUUUGAUUGGUUUGUGCUGGACAGCUUGCCUUCCAAUAAACCAAACCAUCUAUUUUCCUCCCAAUUCUCCAGGUAAUAUGAAGAAAGUAAAUUUCAGCACAUUGAAGUUUUGGUCUCUGCAACUUCUCUUUGGAAAUGUAGCCCAAUUAGGAUAUGAAUUAAAAUCCAUCAGUCUUGACAUUCCUCCCAGGUUGGAGAGCACUUUGAAAGGUCUGGAUGAGAAGUUUGGAGCAUGUUCCAUCUUCGGUUCCACAAUAGAUUUCACUGGAUUUGGAGCUGCCUCCUCCUGGAAAGACUUAUCCCAGAAAGAAACAGCUGUGAAUUCCAACCACAGAAUAUAA
rnacentral:lncRNA from 1 species